rnacentral:rRNA from 1 species
UACGAAGGGUGCAAACGUUGCUCGGAAUUAUUGGGCGUAAAGCGCACGUAGGCGGCAUUGCAAGUCGGAUGUGAAAUCUUAUGGCUUAACCAUAAAAGUGCAUCCGAAACUGCAGUGCUUGAGUACUUAAGAGGAUCGCGGAAUUCCCGGUGUAGAGGUGAAAUUCGUAGAUAUCGGGAGGAACACCAGUGGCGAAGGCGGCCAACUGGACGGUGACUGACGCUGAGACGCGAAAGCGUGGGGAGCAAACAGG